UGCGUUUUCCUGUGAUGUGAUUUCGAUGUGUUCGUUCCACGUGUCCGAGCUGCUUCUUCGUUUCAAAUACAUUUGGCGCCGGUGCCUAUUGUUUGAGCCUGUGCUCACGAUGAAAACACGCAUCGCAGAAACCUGAAAGCCCGCCAAAAGAGCUCUAAAAACCGCAUCCCAGACCUGCCGGCAGACUUCCGAGCUAAGCCUGAUUAAACAAAAACGUUUGAUCCGGCGGAAUAAUGUGUUUGAUAUUACAUCCCAUGUCAACAAGGAACUGCGCUGUCUGUCUUCGCCCCCAACAGGUUUUAUUCUUCCGGGUUUUUCAAAUCUUUACCAACCCGCGUCCGAUCGUAAUACCCCGAUCACAACAAAUAGUUGAUCGUGCUCCGAUGGCUCCAAACAUCAGCCGGCAAGGAAGUUACGUUUUUCGCUUCUAUAUUUUGACCCAAGUGAUGGCUGGUCGUGGUUCAUCAGCGUUUGUUUUGAAACUGAUGGGUACCACAAGGCAUGAAGGAGGUGACUUGCAGCAGCAAGGCACUGCAAGCCUUCGCAGCAACUGGCUAGCCAGUGCUGCUCUGUUCUGAACUGCACUGCGUGUCAUGCGGAGGUUUUGUGCAAGCUCUCUGGGCGGCGACGCUAGCCACGAUUGGCUUCGUGGAUGCACAGAAAUACUCAAGGCGCUUGACGUCUGUGGCUCAUCUGUAUUGUUUUUCCCGGUACCACGGCAUGAAGGAGCUGGCCUCCCUCCCUUCCAUCAGCUGCGAGAUACUACAAGCACUGGGCUACAGCUGCAGCUAGCCCAUGGGUACCGUUCUGCGUCCUGUACUGCAUCUAGUUCGAAAGGCCAUGUGAAAGGCAGGUACCGGGGACCAUGACAUCAGUGAGCUGGCUUUCACCUUGUCCAAGGCAGCAGCGGAACACUACGGGCGGGACCCUGGAUCACUGCACCAUGGAUGCCGUCCUGUACCCUGCACGGCACUGCGUGUGGCUUAAGUGGCCAAGCAGAGGGUCAUUGCAUGACUUUUAUGAGGCGCCGCUAGCCAUUCUUGUUGCCACACAGACAUUGAAAUACAUCAAUGGGAUAAAGUAAGGUUCAGAACCAACAUCAGCUACCGUGAGAUCUCUCACCAUCCUUGCGGGGUUGAAAAAUUGGGACUUCAGUUGACAAACCUCGCCCGCCCUCCUGUCCAUCAUCACCUGACCCCAUUCUGCAUAUGUGGGUAUGUGCAAGGGAGCGUGAUCAUGUGGCUGAAGAUACAAGUGUGACCGGCCCAACGAGCACAUAGUUUCCACAGCACUGUCGGCUUAGGGGUGCACGGAAGAUACUGUAUAAACUGGAAUAUAGGUCGACCCCUUAAUUUACAAGUUGCAAGAUGCAAAAGAAGUUUUUAUGGCAAGAAAACGCAACCUUACCUUGGUGACAAAAUUGUCCAAGUAUAUGAAAGGACGAGAAAACACGGCAGAUUUAUUUAAUUGUUUUGCACUCAAUAAAACAGGAAGUAUGCGAGUGUUACUACUCAGAUUCCUCAGAGCCUUCGUCCGACGACGAGUUCACUAACACAAUUUAAAGGGACGAUGCCGUCCCUUCGAAUUGCGCCCUCGAAAGCUCGGAGGCACGAGCAACCUCAACGCCUUUUAUAUGGAUGCUCUCCGACAUCACAGGUAUCGAUCUGGCGCACAGAUCCCGAAUAAAGUUUGCCGCCUUUGUUUCCAAUUCGGGGUACACUGCAGUCCUUCCACGAAAUUAAGUUUUCCUCGCCUUGCUGCACGCCGCCGGUUUUUGUCUCUGGUUUUGCCAGUAGCAUAUGCUUUUCUCCGAUACACUGAACUCUCGCUGCGCUGCAAGAUUCCGGUGGAUCUCUGCAUAGGCGAUUGCCUUGUUCUAAAAGGCUACUGUGAACUGUCUUCUACUUCCGCUCAUUAUUGCUGCGGUAGAUGUAACAAACCAAGGAGCACAAGUAAAAGUUAAUCGUGACCAUCGUGACAAGUGGACGAGUGCUAGGCCAUUGCAAUAUAAAACAAAAUGGCGUCUUCAGGCACUGAGUGUUGCGAGAUUAUUUUUGUUUUUCCGCUAAUGACCGUCAUAUAAGACUAGGGUCGACUUUUUCAGGUCCAAUUUCUAGAAUAAAUUCGACCUAUAUUCCGGUUUAUAUGCUAGUUGUGCAUAGUACUGUGGAAGCCACAGGCUGGGGAGGGGGGGAUUAGCAACUUUUGUCUGAAUGUUGAGCGACGAGCAUCAAGGGCCAAUUUCCUAGGGGGAGAAUGGUGACGUGCGAGUACAAAAAUGAGGAUCCAAGCGCCAUGAGCAAGAGGGGAGUUCCUCCUUUUCCUCCUCUUGAACUGCUAGAGGUAUACUUAUGCCCCUGUACCUUUGGUAACACUGCACAAUUUGUAAGUUGAGGAAAGCUAAGAAGGAAGUUGAAGAAUCGAUUCAUGACCCCUUUAACAUUUACCUACACUAGUUACCUUGCACCAUUAUAUUUUGUUUGAGAAAGCUCUCAUCCUCACCCCUCCCAUAAGGGAUAAAAUCAGAAGUGUAUACAACGAUCGGAAUCUAAAGUGCCACGAAACCUAUUGCUGGACAUUCUUACGGGUUAGUGAUCAAUUUUUGUAUGAAUGAGGCCUUACCAGUGCCUUUGCCUCAAUAGUGUGGUAAAAGGGCAAUUUUCUUGUUUGUGCGCACAAAUUUGUUUUGAAACAUAACUUGCUGGACUACCAAUGCAUGUUUCAAGAUCUCUGUUGUGGUGAAUGUUUUGCUGCCUGUUAUAUUCUUCAAUAGCCAGUAUCGUUUAAGUUCUAGAACUCUAUACAGUAAACUCCCACUUGAGCAAACUUCUAGGGACUCAAAGAAAUAGUUCCCUUAACUAGGAGUCCACUAAACUGAAUAUAUUCACUGGAUUAUGGAACAGCAUAGGGCACAGCAUACAUUGAGUCAAAAGGGUGAAAUGCAAUUUAUGGAGUCAUGUACAUUGAUAUAUACAAAGUGUAUUGCAGUUACGCUGCUGCCUUUCUCAUUUUGAAAAUAGUCAAUAAUUUUCAUUUGCACCGGCGCUCUGAAAGCGCAUGAAGUAACAAAGUUGCCCAGAGAGUAUCUUUUUUUUUUUUUUGCAUAUCCUCUGGCGCAGCUAGUUGCUGUGAGGAAGUCAUACCGCAACGGCACUGUCCACUGGCUUGAAAUAUUCAGUGCAGAGCCGUUCCCUGUUGGGAUUGAACGCAGUUUCUCUUUCAAGCUUCGACUUUUGCUUCACUAACGUUGACAACGUCGACGGUAGCAUCCGAUAGUCCUUCGCAACAUUCACUUGCCUUUGACCGUUGCCCAGACGCUGAAAGUAUUUCAAUUUGUCUGAGAGACAACCGCUUCCAUUUCGUUAUACUUAUUACGUAAGUGGGCGCACAAACUGCCGUUGUUACCCAAAACUAAGAUGGCCGAAAGGAACCAAUAAUAAAGAAAAGAAAAUAUGCACCGCAUGGUUCGUUUUUGUCUACCGCACCGCUGCUGCAAAGGCGGCGGCGGCCAUCAGCUACGCCAGCACUGCAGAGCACAAAACUUUGUUGAACUGAUCACAACAGUAAUCCUGGGUCCACCGAUCAAGUUCGUUGAACUGAAAUAUUCGCUAUUCCGAAAUUCGUUUUUCGUAGAGCAAACAUUUUUGCAUAGAAUGCAAAGGAAAACCACCAUAGAUUUUUGAAAGUUUGUUAUUCUGAAAUACUUGUUAAACCGACAUUUGCUCAAGUGCGAGUUUAUUGCACCCGACUACUGUGCGUUGCCCUACAUGUUCGGGUAAGGUACUGUUUCUGUUUACCUAAUAGGCACUUUCGUUCUCUGCAUAUACACCAUAGGUUUCAAACCACCCUGAAUCGUGGAUCAAGCCUUGCAAGAUGGAAGUUCUCUUUAGGCCCAGCGCCUCUUGAUGGAUCAAGUCUUGUACCCCAUUCCCUCGUGUCUUUCAUAUAAGUAAAUUGUUGGUAUUUC